GUUCAGCGUUGUCUUUUUUAAAACACAAUAACGCAUUCCGAAAAUGGCUAUUCUUCUUCCUCAUCCACUCCAACCAACGCGUGUCCAGCGGUGGCAACGUUUUUCUCUUCAUCGGCGACGACGUUUUUCUCUUCACCGGCGACGACGAGGAAUUUACAGUCCUAACCGAUGGCGUCUUCCCUUUCUCUGCACCGGCGUUGACGAACUCGUAGCCCUAGCUAGCGGGCGUCUUCCCUCUCACGACGACGAACUCCCAGAAACAAUGGCUGCUCAUAAGGCACAGAAUGAUUACUUCUGCAAUUCGCCCGAAACUUUUUCUGGAGAUGAAAACUUGAAUCUCAAAUGUUUCAUCACCAUUAUCCUGUGCUAUUACAGUUUUUCACUUUUGCUGCUGUAUCUUCAUGCUAUUUAGUAAAUUAGUUUCUAAUCUAAAGCACUACCUCAGGUUUUGGGCACACAUUGUAGUUGCUUAUGCAUUUACCUUUUGGACAUGCUAUAUUUUAUCCAAGGAGUAUGAAAAAGUUGCCGCAAUGAGAUUGCAAUUUCUUGCGUUAGAAAAACGUCGUCCUGAUCAAUUCACGAUCACAUCAGCAAGGAAAGUGGUGGUGAAACUCAUAACACAACACAUAAGGAUAUGAGUUCUAUGUAUCAUCAAGAACAAACAGUUCAACCAUGUCAGCUUAGCUCAUCAAUCCAUUAUGGUGGCUAGGACAUAUAUUUUCGUCCUAAGAGUACACAAGAUUCUGAAUUCAAUUCUUUGAUAUACAAGAAAGACGGGGUUGAAGAUGAUUCAGAAACUGCUUCAAGAGGAAACUGGUGGCAAGUUACUUUGAUCUAGUGAUUCAGUUGCCCAGUGUUUUUAAACUUUGCAUCCAUAAAGGAUACAAUAGAUAUAGGAAACUUGAUAGUUACUACAAGAAACGAAUAUUCAUUUCCUAAGGGAAGUGGAAGGGAUAAGAGUGGAUCUAUUAGUUUUGUUGAUCGGCUAGUGGCACAAGAAAUGACAGAAACUGAUUUACAUUUCAAGAUCUCUCAAAGCCUGUUGGAGCACAUGAUACAAAACGAUUUGAGGUAUUUGAAUAUGGUUGAGUUGCAGGCUAGGGAUCCAAAUGCAGAUUUAGCACAUUUCUUUGAUGUGAUAGGAGGGAGUGGCACUAGUGCACUCAUAACAGCUUUGUUAGCCACACCAAGCCCUCAUGAUCCUACUCGUGCUGCCUUUACUCCUGCACAAAUUGUAGACUUCUACAAA